GAAAGUAUAGUUCAAGUGGUAGAGUGCAUGCUUAGCAUGCACAAGGUCCUGGGUUCAAUCCCCAGUACCUCCU
rnacentral:tRNA from 1 species